CAAUCACAGCGUGAAAGCGGUGAAUCGCUUACUAUUUAUUGUACCGUUGAGAAACAGGCUGGGCUCGUCUGACGCAGAUCACCCCUUGUCCGAGCAGUUUACGAGGAGUCUUCAAGAAUUUGGCUGUAAGAUGUCGAAAGAUGUCCCACGUGAGCCGGAGCAGCUCCGCAAGCUGUUCAUUGGAGGUCUAAGCUUUGAGACCACAGAUGAGAGCCUGCGGGCUCAUUUUGAGCAAUGGGGGGCUCUUACAGAUUGUGUGGUCAUGAGGGACCCCAACAGCAAGAGGUCCAGGGGCUUUGGCUUUGUUACAUACUCAUCAGUACAGGAAGUUGAUGCUGCCAUGUCUGCUCGCCCCCACAAGGUUGAUGGAAGAGUGGUAGAGCCUAAACGAGCUGUUUCCAGAGAGGACUCAAACCGACCAGGUGCCCAUGUAACAGUCAAAAAGAUCUUUGUUGGAGGCAUCAAGGAAGAUACAGAGGAGUCGCACCUGCGAGAUUACUUCCAACAGUUUGGCAAAAUCGAGGUCAUUGAUAUCAUGACCGAUCGUAAUACCGGAAAGAAGAGGGGUUUCGCCUUUGUCACUUUUGAUGACCAUGAUGCAGUCGACCGGAUUGUCAUCCAGAAAUACCACACACUCAACAGUCACAACUGUGAAGUGAGGAAGGCUCUAACAAAACAGGAAAUGCAGAAUGCAGGAAUGGGCAUGAGAGGUCGCAGCAGUGGUGGAAGGCCCUAUGACUAUGACAGAGGCUUCAAUCAAGGUGGCAGGGGUAGAUAUGGAGAUGGUCCUUACAAUUGCAAUGGAGGCGAUGGUGGCUAUGGAGGUGGUCCUAGCGGCCCUGGUGGAUAUAAUAAUGGUGGCAACCGUGGUUAUAACCAAGGUUACAACCAGGGUGGAGGUGGAGGCUACGGAGGAAAUGGUUAUGAUGGCAACGGUUAUGGCAACUGUGGUGGUGGUGGUGGUGGUGGUGGAGGCGGCGGAGGAAACUACAACAACAUGGGCCACUACGAUCCCCAGGCCUCAAACUUUGGCCCAAUGAAGAACAACUUUGGUGGUGGAGGCGGUGGUGGUGGCAGGAGCUUUGGUGGCUAUGGAGGUGGCUCAAACAAUAGUGGAUAUGGCCGUCCAGGACGAUUUUGAAAUGUGAAGCGGACUGAGUACUUAGGAGAGGAGAGCAAGGAGAGGAGAGGAAGCGAAGUGACAGGGCAGCUGCAGGUUUACCUCCUAAAUCUGCUCAGCCAAACAGUUGUGGCAGGUUACAGCUGCUGCAAGAAGAGAUGUACAGUAGAUAAAUCAUGGAGGGUCUUCAUUUAAACGUUUUUUGUUUUUUUUUCCUUCAAACUGUUUCUGGAAAGCAAGCAUUCCAAUGGGGUUUUAUGUAGAUUUUCUUUGAGUCUGGUUUUAUUUGUAACUGCAUCAAAUCAAGCUGAAAUAAACCAUCUUUCAGUUUUUUUUUAAAAAAAAAAAAGUCUUGUUAGCCUCUUCAGUGGUUUGGGAAAGGGAGGGUUGACUGUUAGCGGCACAAAGUGUUGGUGGUGGUUGGGGGGGGUGGUGUGUUUUACGUAUCGUGAGCAGUCUGGAAAAGCCAAUUUCUUUGAGACGUGCAAAGAAGCCCUGCACUAAUCACCACAAACUCCAUGAGUCAAGGCAUUUUAAAUACCAAAACAAUACGGGUUGAGGAAUGAGAAGUGGUGCGCAAAUGCAGUCAUCAUAAAGAGCCCAUCACUUGGUACAGACUCUACCCUGAGUUCUGCAGAGAUCAUCUGGAGGAUGCUAGCUUACAUGCAAAGUCUUUGAGGCUAGCCAUGGAAGCCAGCUGAGGGAGAGAAGUAGCAAAACCAUCGCCAGGAUCAUUGAAGCAGGGGAGAGUGAGAACAGAAGCCUGAGGCUAGCAGGCAGCAGCUACCAAAAGGCUUAAAUGCUGUCUGUAGGAAACUCCACAUGGUCUCCAAAACCUGAUUUCAUUUCAGUGACAAUGGCUCAAUCAGGUACAAAUCAUUUAAACUGUGCACAUCACACUUUUCAGUUUUUCUUCAAAUUUAACCUGUCUCUGUUUUCACAGGUUUACUUGAACAAUCAUGCUGCUGAAGACUUUUUUUUAAAAACAUUUUUAUAACUUAACUGAAAACUGAUGUUCAGUGUUUUUUUUACUUUUUUUUAAUAAAGUAUUUUUACAAAGUA